rnacentral:lncRNA from 1 species
UGCUCCUCAGUCCGGCCUUGAAAGGGCCGCUUCGACGGCGUGGGGGCUCCACAGGAAGGCGUGGUCUUGGAGAGGACGCUGCCUUUCCAAGAUGCGCAGAUGUCCAUCGUCUUUCCUGUCACCGGCAACGGAGGCCUUGCCCUCCCAGCUCGUCCAAGACCUCAGUGCGAGAGGAAGAAUUAAUGAUUGCCCUAAAGGGCAUCUUCCUGCUUACCCUGCACUCCAUGGCUCUCCUCCCGGCGCUUUUAGGAACGCGGAGGGGGCUUCUCCACGAAUAAGGGAUUGGUGUUACCCGCACAUUCUACGUUUAUCCAGAUAUUUGCCCAUGAAUGUACAUUGCAGCGUGGUUUUUAAUAGGAAACGACCUAAAUGUCCCUCAGAAUGGGAUAGUAAUAGAAAACAAUAUAGCCUUUAUGAAUUACUAAAGAGUUAUUAAAAGAAGUAGAUCUGUAAUGGUAAGAAACACCAACAGCAGGCAGUUGCAAAAUAAUGCAUAUUUAUGGUUGCAUUUGUAUUUUAAGUUAUAUAAACAUGCAUAUAUUUUAGCAAAUUCAUGGGGAGAGAUAUCACACUAAAGAGGACAGCAACUCCGAAAAAGUAUGUGUUGGUGAGUAGAAAGUUUUAAAGUUUUGUUGUGUAUACUUAAGUUUCUACGAAUCUUUAGCAAGGAGAAUUUAUUAAGGUUUUUUGGUGAGUUUUUUGUUUUGUUUGUUUUGUGUGUGUGUGUGUAACGUCAAGUACCAAAAUAAAUAAUCAAUGUCCAGUGCUCUCCUCCCCACCCCCACCUUACUGGCCAUUGAACUGAGGGGCACUCUAUCACUGAGCUACAUCCCCAGUCCUUUUUAUUUUUUAUUUUAAGACAAGGUCUUACCCAGGAGUUGUCCAGGCUAGCCUCAGACUUACCAUCUUCUGCCUCAGCUUCCCAAGUAGCUGGUGUUGCAGGCAUGCACCACAGUACCCAGGUAGAAUUUCUCUUGAAAAGCUUUGUUCUAGAUAUUAUUGUUUGGAUAUGGUUUGAAUGCCAUCCUCCAAGUUUUCAUGUGUUGAAGUUUGAUCCCCACUGUGAGGUAUUAAGAAGGUGGAAAUGGAGCUGGGGUUGUAGCUCAGUGGUUGAACGCUUGCCUCCAAUGCGUGAGGAACUGGGUUCUAUCCUCAGCACCACAUAAAAUAUAAAUAAAUGAAUAAAUAAAACAAAGAUAUUUAAAAAAAAAAAGAAUGUGGAAAUGUGUGUGGCUGGGAUUAUAGCUCAGUGGUAGAGCCAGCAGGAGGUCUCCAACACCGUUGAAAUGUCAAGGUGGAAAUUUAUACAAUAAUAGUAUUGAGAGGUAGAGCCUUUGUGAGUUGAUUUAGAUAUAAGGUUAUUAGAUAUUAUUGUUGUUUGGAUAUGGUUUGAAUGCUAUCUUCCAAGUUUUCAUGUGUUGAAGUUUGAUCCCCAUUGUGAGGUAUUAAGAAGGUGGAAAUGGGGCCGGGGUUGUAGCUCAGAGGGAGAGAAUUCGGGAGAAAUGAACAUACCUGUCCCUUAAUCUCUUUCUGUGUGAUAACCCUGAACCACCUUGGGAUUCUGUCAGCAAGCAGACCAUUACCACAUGCACACUUAGGCCAGAAUUCUGACCCAAAAUAAACCUCUUUGUUAAAAAAUACAGCCCCAGGUAUUUUGUUGCAGUAAUGAAAAACAAAUACAGAGACCACAGAUUUGCAGUGGAUCAAAUAUUUACCGAGUGCCAACUCUACUUAAUCGUAAAAAUAAUAAAAUAGACAAAAAUGAUUGACCCAUGCUCCUUUGGUUCUUGCUUGUGGUAUUAGUGCUUAG